CCAAUAGCGUAUAUUAAAGUUGUUGUGGUUAAAAAGCUCGUAGUUGAACCUUGGGCCUGGCUGGCCGGUCCGCCUCACCGCGUGUACUGGUCCGGCCGGGCCUUUCCCUCUGUGGAACCUCAUGCCCUUCACUGGGCGUGACGGGGAAACAGGACUUUUACUGUGAAAAAAUUAGAGUGCUCCAGGCAGGCCUAUGCUCGAAUACAUUAGCAUGGAAUAAUGAAAUAGGACGUGCGGUUCUAUUUUGUUGGUUUCUAGGACCGCCGUAAUGAUUAAUAGGGACAGUCGGGGGCAUCAGUAUUCAAUUGUCAGAGGUGAAAUUCUUGGAUUUAUUGAAGACUAACUACUGCGAAAGCAUUUGCCAAGGAUGUUUUCAUUAAUCAGGAACGAAAGUUAGGGGAUCGAAGACGAUCAGAUACCGUCGUAGUCUUAACCAUAAACUAUGCCGACUAGGGAUCGGAUGAUGUUAAUUUUUUAAUGACUCAUUCGGCGCCUUACG
rnacentral:misc_RNA from 1 species